rnacentral:rRNA from 1 species
AUGCCAAGCCUCGUCGCCACACUCCUGCACCUCUUUUCCCUCUUGGUCGUCGCCGCCGCAGAGGCCAUCCGCUGCCUCGUCGGGUGGGCACGUCCGGCGUUGUCCCGCCUGUCCGUGCAGGAAUGCCCGGAGGCGGCGGCGUGCUCGACGGAGCUACCCGUGGCGCGGUGCGGUGAGCAGCGUGGAGCGGGGCGCGAACGCUGCGUGAUCUGCCUGGGCGGCAUGGAGGAGGGCGACGAGGUGAGGGUGCUCAGGUGCCACCAUCUGUUCCACCGCUGCUGCCUCGCCCGGUGGCUGGCUGCGUGGGCGGGGGCGACAUGCCCGCUCUGCCGCGGCAAGCUCCUCACGGGCACAGCUGCUAAGCGCGCCGGGGAAGAGGAGGUGGAGGAGAGGAGCAUCGAGGGGAUGUGCAUGGUCAUGCUCAUGGCCUACGUGCAUAGCCGUACUUCGGUUCCGGCGGUUUAA